rnacentral:rRNA from 1 species
UAAAGAUCCGUCGGAUGAGGAUAGGCUCGCGUGACAUUAGCUAGACGGCGGGGUAACGGCCCACCGUGGCGACGAUGUCUAGGGGUUCUGAGAGGAAGGUCCCCCACACUGGAACUGAGACACGGUCCAGACUCCUACGGGAGGCAGCAGUGAGGAAUAUUGGUCAAUGGCCGGAAGGCUGAACCAGCCAUGCCGCGUGAAGGUCAGUGCCCUAUGGGCGUUAAACUUCUUUUGUGCGAGAGCAAUAAGGGCCACGCGUGGCCUGACGAGAGUACCGUACGAAUAAGCAUCGGCUAACUCCGUGCCAGCAGCCGCGGUAAUACGGGGGAUGCAAGCGUUAUCCGGAUUUAUUGGGUUUAAAGGGUGCGUAGGCUGUGAGGUAAGUCAGCGGUGAAAUGCCCCCGCUCAACGGGGUGAAGUGCCAUUGAUACUGCCUUGCUGGAAUGCGGAUGCCGUGGGAGGAAUGUGUGGUGUAGCGGUGAAAUGCAUAGAUAUCACACAGAACACCGAUUGCGAAGGCAUCUCACGAAUCCGCGAUUGACGCUGAUGCACGAAAGCGUGGGUAUCAAACAGGAUUAGAUACCCUGGUAGUCCACGCUGUAAAAGAUGAUGACUAACCGUCGGCGAUACACAGUCG